AGAAACUCUGGAGAAGCUCUUUUUACAAGAGUGCCGAAGGGGCAAGGGAUAACCCGAAACUCUCAGGCAAAAGGACAGGGCG
rnacentral:ncRNA from 1 species